UACGUAGGACCCGAGCGUUGUCCGGAUUUACUGGGUAUAAAGGGUGCGUAGGCGGUCUUGUGCGUCAGAGGUGAAAUCUCCGGGCUUAACCCGGAGGGUGCCUUUGAUACGGCAGGACUUGAGUGCGGGAGAGGGUGAUGGAAUUCCUGGUGUAGCGGUGAAAUGCGUAGAUAUCAGGAGGAACACCGGUGGCGAAGGCGGUCACCUGGCCCGUAACUGACGCUGAGGCACGAAAGCGUGGGGAUCAAACAGG
rnacentral:rRNA from 1 species